AUCUAGCAAUAGAUUGCUGACGACCGGCGCACGGGUGAGUAACACGUAUCCAACCUGCCGAUAACUCGGGGAUAGCCUUUCGAAAGAAAGAUUAAUACCCGAUGGUAUAAUAAAACCGCAUGGUUUUGUUAUUAAAGAAUUUCGGUUAUCGAUGGGGAUGCGUUCCAUUAGGCAGUUGGUGAGGUAACGGCUCACCAAACCUUCGAUGGAUAGGGGUUCUGAGAGGAAGGUCCCCCACAUUGGAACUGAGACACGGUCCAAACUCCUACGGGAGGCAGCAGUGAGGAAUAUUGGUCAAUGGGCGUAGGCCUGAACCAGCCAAGUAGCGUGAAGGAUGACUGCCCUAUGGGUUGUAAACUUCUUUUAUAUGGGAAUAAAGCUUUCCACGUGUGGAAUUUUGUAUGUACCAUAUGAAUAAGGAUCGGCUAACUCCGUGCCAGCAGCCGCGGUAAUACGGAGGAUCCGAGCGUUAUCCGGAUUUAUUGGGUUUAAAGGGAGCGUAGGUGGACAGUUAAGUCAGUUGUGAAAGUUUGCGGCUCAACCGUAAAAUUGCAGUUGAUACUGGCUGUC
rnacentral:rRNA from 1 species